GAUGAAGAACGUAGCGAAAUGCGAUAAGUAAUGUGAAUUGCAGAAUUCAGUGAAUCAUCGAAUCUUUGAACGCACCUUGCGCCCUUUGGACAUUCCGAAGGGCAUGCCUGUUUGAGUAUCAUGAACACCUCAACUCUCACGGCUUGUCCGUGAUGAGCUUGGACUUUGGGGGUCUUGCCGGCCUGUGGUCGGCUCCUCUCAAAUGGAUCAGCUUGCCAGUGUUUGGUGGCAUCACAGGUGUGAUAACUAUCUGCGCUUGUGGUUUUCCAUCAGAUAACCUUCAGUGAUAUGGAGGUUCGCUGGAGCUCACAAGUGUCUCUCCUUAGUGAGGACAGCUCUUUGAACGUUUGAUCUCAAAUCAGGUAGGACUACCCGCUGAACUUAAGCAUAUCAAUAAGCGGAGGA
rnacentral:misc_RNA from 1 species